UCCCUGGUGGCCUAGCAGUUAGGAUUCAGUGCUUUCACCACUGUGACCAGGGUUAAAUUCCUGGCCUGGGAA
rnacentral:tRNA from 1 species